GUCGCCGGCGACAGAAAAUGACAUGCUGCACUUUUAGUACCGUAACUCUUGAACCAUUUGCGCUAUCAACAUAAUUCCAACGGAUUCUGAAAGCUGAGACUCUAAGCUUUGCGCUGAUAUAUGAUACAUUACGGUAAGGACAGCGGCCUUGUGCUGAUUCGCGGAUCAAAACACAUGACGUGAGGGAGACUUUGGAGCAGAGAGAGUGCAGAUCUGGGAGAUUCAUCGGAGAUUUAGCGGAGUUUUAGCGGAGUUUUAGAGGUAAUUUAGCUGUUUAUCUUUGUAUAUAUUAUAUUAAUCGUUGUAUAUAUUAUAUUUAAUGUUGUUUAUCAUAGUGUUAGAGUUCAUUUUAUAAGUUUUGAGUGUCGUUUUGCCGUGUUUUGUGCCGUGUUCUUGCCUUAGCACGACCGUUUUUAGCUAGUUCCUUUAGUAUUGAUUGUAAUAGUGGAGGCAGAAAUGUUGAGAUCUGCAAGAAAGAUGAGACUUCCAGCUCAAUUUGUGGAGGAGGAAGAGAAGAUGGAGAUGCAGGAGGAGGCAGGGGGUGUGUCUCCAUCCCAAACACAGUAAGUAAAUAGUAUGCAUACUCCCAAAUUUAGUUCUAAUAUAAUGAUAUCAUUAUUUGAAUUCAUAAUAUUUUGUAAAUAAAUACUUUUUAUUUAUGAUUAUCUCCUCAAUACAUUUUUACAGAUUCUUCUGAUGAGGGACCAUCAAAAAGGACAAGGCGGGGACGAAGUCUGGUCUGUGGCCAACGCAGGCAGCACAGCAGCAGCAGUGGUGGUCCUGAUGCUGCUGGUGAUGCUCCUGCAUGUCAUUCAC